rnacentral:rRNA from 1 species
ACUCCUACGGGAGGCAGCAGUGAGGAAUCUUCCGCAAUGGACGAAAGUCUGACGGAGCAACACCGCGUGAAGGAUGAAGGCCUUUUGGUUGUAAACUUCUUUUCUGAGGGAAGAAUUCUGACGGUACCUCAGGAAUAAGCAUCGGCUAACUACGUGCCAGCAGCCGCGGUAAGACGUAGGAUGCAAGCGUUAUCCGGAAUUAUUGGGCGUAAAGCGUCCGCAGGCGGUUUGGUAAGUUGGAUGUCAAAGCUCUGAGCUCAACUCAGAAACUGUAUCCGAUACUGCUAAACUAGAGUCAGGUAGAGGCAAGUGGAAUUCUGCAUGUAGGGGUAAUAUCCGUAGAUAUGCAGAGGAACACCAAAAGCGAAGGCAGCUUGCUGGACCUGUACUGACGCUCAUGGACGAAAGCGUGGGAGCG